AUGUGGAAGGUGGGGCGUGGAUCCAGUCGCCGCCUCUACCAGGGAAUCAACAGGCGGCGCCUGGAAACCCGCCCCCUUCUGCCGGGUGUCCAGUCGGAUGUUGUGUUGACUCAGCCAGAGGCAGAGACCGGGCGUCCCGGAGGCACCCUGAGACUGACCUGUAAAACCAGCGGCUUCGAUCUUGACAGCUACGGCAUGAUCUGGGUCCGACAGGUUCCCGGACAAGGGCUGGAGUGGCUGGUUUACUACUAUAGUCCAUCGGACAACAGCUAUGCCCCAGCAAUUAAGAAUCGAUUCACUGCGUCCAAAGACACUUCAAGGAGCAUUUUCUCCUUGGACAUGACGAACCUGAAGACUGAAGACACCGCCAUCUAUUACUGUGCAAGAGAGUCACAGCGAGAGGAACCAGGGCUGGACCCGAACAAGAACAGAUCGAGAGGGACUCAACAACUUCCAUCGUAA